GUCCUUUCUACAUUCUCAUGACUCACCUUUCAGGGGUCGGUGUGUAUCUUCAUAUGCAACAGGAGCCACUAAAAAAAACACUUCAAGCACCAUAACCACUACAGCAUGUUUUGCAAUUUAACCCCUUAAGGACCAAACUUCUGGAAUAAAAGGGAAUCAUGACAUGUCACACAUAUCAUGUAUCCUUAAGGGGUUAAAGACCACGACAAAUAAUAAUAGUAAUAAACAUAUAAG